rnacentral:tRNA from 1 species
GGUCGCGUAACUCAGUGGUAGAGUGCUUCCUUGACAUGGAAGUGGUCGUUGGUUCAAGUCCAAUCGUGACCACCA